rnacentral:rRNA from 1 species
AGAGUUUGAUCAUGGCUCAGAACGAACGCUGGCGGCAGGUCUAACACAUGCAAGUCGAGCGCACUCUUCGGAGUGAGCGGCGGACGGGUUAGUAACGCGUGGGAACGUGCCCUUCUCUAAGGAAUAGCCACUGGAAACGGUGAGUAAUACCUUAUACGCCCUUCGGGGGAAAGAUUUAUCGGAGAAAGAUCCGCCCGCGUUAGAUUAGAUAGUUGGUGGGGUAACGGCCUACCAAGUCUACGAUCUAUAGCUGGUUUUAGAGGAUGAUCAGCAACACUGGGACUGAGACACGGCCCAGACUCCUACGGGAGGCAGCAGUGGGGAAUCUUGGACAAUGGGCGCAAGCCUGAUCCAGCCAUGCCGCGUGAGUGAUGAAGGCCUUAGGGUCGUAAAGCUCUUUCGCCAGAGAUGAUAAUGACAGUAUCUGGUAAAGAAACCCCGGCUAACUCCGUGCCAGCAGCCGCGGUAAUACGGAGGGGGUUAGCGUUGUUCGGAAUUACUGGGCGUAAAGCGCACGUAGGCGGAUCAGAAAGUUGGGGGUGAAAUCCCGGGGCUCAACCCCGGAACUGCCUCCAAAACUCCUGGUCUUGAGUUCGAGAGAGGUGAGUGGAAUUCCGAGUGUAGAGGUGAAAUUCGUAGAUAUUCGGAGGAACACCAGUGGCGAAGGCGGCUCACUGGCUCGAUACUGACGCUGAGGUGCGAAAGUGUGGGGAGCAAACAGGAUUAGAUACCCUGGUAGUCCACACCGUAAACGAUGAAUGCCAGUCGUCAGCAAGCAUGCUUGUUGGUGACACACCUAACGGAUUAAGCAUUCCGCCUGGGGAGUACGGUCGCAAGAUUAAAACUCAAAGGAAUUGACGGGGGCCC